AGCACGUAGGUGGGUUUGUAAGUCAGACGUGAAAGCCUUCUGUUCAACGGAAGAAUUGCAUCUGAAACUACAAACCUUGAGUGUAGGAGGGGAGAAUGGAACUUCUGGUGGAGCGGUGAAAUGCGUAGAUAUCAGAAGGAACGCCGGCGGCGAAAGCGAUUCUCUGGCCUAUUACUGACACUCAGUGUGCGAAAGCUAGGGGAGCAAACGGGAUUAGAUACCCCGGUAGUCCUAGCCGUAAACGAUGGGCACUAAGUAGAGGGAAUUACCGAUGUUCUCUCUGCCGUAGCUAACGCAUUAAGUGCCCCGCCUGGGGGGUACGGCCGCAAGGCUAAAACUCAAAAGAAUUGACGGGGGCUCGCACAAGCGGUGGAGCAUGUGGCUUAAUUCGAUGCAACGCGAAAAACCUUACCGGGGCUUGACAUGGUAGAAGUAGGAACCCGAAAGGGUAACGAACGGUAUCCAGUCCGUGACUAUCACAGGUGUUGCAUGGCUGUCGUCAGCUCGUGUCGUGAGACGUUGGGUUAAGUCCCCUAACGAGCGAAACCCUUGUUUUUAGUUGCCAGCGGGUUAUGCCGGGCACUCUAGAAAGACUGCCGUCGUCAAGACGGAGGAAGGUGGGGAUGACGUCAAGUCAUCAUGGCCCUUAUGCCCCGGGCUGCACACGUGCUACAAUGGCCGGUACAAACGGAAGCGAAGCCGAGAGGUGAAGCGAAUCC
rnacentral:rRNA from 1 species